GAUGAACGCUGGCGGCGUGCCUAAUACAUGCAAGUCGAGCGAACAGACGAGGAGCUUGCUCCUCUGACGUUAGCGGCGGACGGGUGAGUAACACGUGGAUAACCUACCUAUAAGACUGGGAUAACUUCGGGAAACCGGAGCCAAUACCGGAUAAUAUAUUGAACCGGAUGGUUCAAUAGUGAAAGACGGUUUUGCUGUCACUUAUAGAUGGAUCCGAGGCGCAUUAGGUAGUUGGUAAGGUAACGGCUUACCAAGGCAACGAUGCGUAGCCGACCUGAGAGGGUGAUCGGCCACACUGGAACUGAGACACGGUCCAGACUCCUACGGGAGGCAGCAGUAGGGAAUCUUCCGCAAUGGGCGAAAGCCUGACGGAGCAACGCCGCGUGAGUGAUGAAGGUCUUCGGAUCGUAAAACUCUGUUAUUAGGGAAGAACAGAUGUGUAAGUAACUAUGCACGUCUUGACGGUACCUAAUCAGAAAGCCACGGCUAACUACGUG
rnacentral:rRNA from 1 species